CUUCCACACUGUAGAUCCGACCAUGGUCACGCUGAACUGAAGUGGUGCUCAGAUUCCCGAGCCCUCCGCUCUUUCGGCCAGCGGUCAUCGGAGGAGACUGCGAGAGGACGAGGAGAGGAGCUCCCAUGGCGGAGGCGGCACCGAAGCAGCGGAGCCCCGCCGCGCCCCGCCCCGUCCGGUGCAUCGUUAAGCUAGGCGGAGCGGCCAUCACGAACAAGGGGGAGCUGGAGAGCAUCGAUGAGGAGAGCCUGCGGUCGGCGUGCGCGCAGCUGCGGCAGGCCAUGUCCGACGGCACCGCCCCGGAGAAGGUUAGGGGGAUGGACUGGAGCAGGAGGCCCGGCGAUCCGGCCGACCCGGUCGUGGACGCCGAGGGGUUCGCGGGUAUGGCGGGGCUGGGUCUCGACAGUAACUUCGUCGUCGUCCACGGCGCAGGUUCUUUUGGCCACUUCCAAGCAAGUAGAUCUGGAGUACAUAAAGGAGGGUUGCAUUCAACACUCGUGAAGGCUGGCUUUGUGGCUACAAGAAUUUCAGUGACUUCUCUCAACCAGGAAAUUGUUAGAGCCUUGGCAAGAGAAGGAAUACCGUCUGUUGGGAUGUCACCAUUUGCUUGUGGAUGGUCUACUCAGCGAAGAAAUCUUGCAUCAGCCAAUGCUUCUCAAAUCAUUGAGUCACUCCAUGCUGGCUUUGUCCCUGUUUUGCACGGAGAUGCUGUUCUUGAUGAAUCGCUGGACUGCACCAUAUUGAGUGGGGAUGUCAUUAUACGCCACCUUGCACAGCUUCUGACUCCAAAAUAUGUCGUGUUUCUGACAGAUGUUCAUGGAGUAUAUGACCGUCCUCCAACUGACCCAAAUGCAGUACUUCUCAAAGAGAUAGAGGUAGAUGACAAUGGAGGCUGGUCGAUUGUAAAACCUGCAUUAGAAGGCAACAGAAAAGGAGAUGUCCUGCUUGUAAACUACCAUCGCUUGUGUAAGCCUAAGAUGUCCAGCUAUUCACUGCAGUGGAGAUAUCAGUAGCCGCACACGACACCACUGGAGGAAUGGAGACCAAAAUACUUGAAGCUGCCGUGAUAGCUAGGCUUGGAGUUGAUGUGUACAUUACAAAGGUUGAUACAGAGCACUCCCUGAGAGCCUUGAAGGGGGAUGUGAACACAAGCUCGGAUGAUUGGCUUGGAACUGUUAUACGCGCUGCCAAAUAGAGUUCUUGCCACAGAACAGAAGCAACACAAUUUUUAUGUCGCGUGGGGUUCGCUGAUGAGCAUUGAUGUUCGCCAGAUGAUACUUUAGAGGUUUAUUCCUACUGUGAUCACUUUUUUGCUGAAUGUCUAGCUAAUGUUGUGACCAAAGGGUGAUACCUCCAUUUAUCCGAGAACACAGAACAUUCCUUUGUGAUUUACGGUACCAUUUGUUAAUGAGAAUGCAGUUGUUUGUCA